rnacentral:rRNA from 1 species
CGCCUUGCCAGCCCGCUCAGAAACUUAAAGGAAUUGACGGGGCCCGGCACAAGCGGCGGAGCAUGUGGAUUAAUUCGAUGCAACGCGGAGAACCUUACCUGGGUUUGACAUACACCGGAAAACCGUAGAGAUACGGUCCCCCUUGUGGUCGGUGUACAGGUGGUGCAUGGCUGUCGUCAGCUCGUGUCGUGAGAUGUUGGGUUAAGUCCCGCAACGAGCGCAACCCUUGUCUUAUGUUGCCAGCACGUGAUGGUGGGGACUCGUAAGAGACUGCCGGGGUCAACUCGGAGGAAGGUGGGGACGACGUCAAGUCAUCAUGCCCCUUAUGUCCAGGGCUUCACACAUGCUACAAUGGCCAGUACAGAGGGCUGCGAGACCGUGAGGUGGAGCGAAUCCCUUAAAGCUGGUCUCAGUUCGGAUCGGGGUCUGCAACUCGACCCCGUGAAGUCGGAGUCGCUAGUAAUCGCAGAUCAGCAACGCUGCGGUGAAUACGUUCCCGGGCCUU